rnacentral:snoRNA from 1 species
CCAGCAAUUUCACAGAUCCUCCCCCAGCACUGGGGCUAGGAUUUGGCCUCUCCUGCUAAGAAAAAUACCCUGGGUUGCACCUUGCCCUGGGAUUGUGCCAGUGGCUGCUGGCAUUCGGUGGGGCAGAG